rnacentral:lncRNA from 1 species
AUGACAUUUGUCACAAUUUGCACAAACAUUUUUCGUUUCUUGACCGCUAUGUCCGCAGCAUGGCUUGUGAAAUACCGGCGACACAACUUUAAAGCCCUGGGUCUUACCUAUCUACUAAAACGCUGCCUUGUUACAUCUACAAAACAGGAAGAGGAAGUUACCAUUGGCCGUAUCAGGACAGAAUCUCUUGAACAUGGGGCUACUGUGUUUGUUGCUCGUUGGCAGGUGGUAAACCGUGCCAGCGACUUCAGGUCUCUAAGCCGCAAGAUGCUGGGAAUCAUGGACUGCUACUGAAGACAGGAUGACUUGGAGAUGUUUGGCACCCGGUAAAGCCAAUCCUGUAAUGCCUGCAGCAAGGUAAAAUUUCAAACCUUUUCUUUAUAAAUCCAUAUUCAGUGUUCUUGCAUGGGGUGUGAUCAGCUGAUUGCACACGGUCCCCUGAUCAAGGUUUGCUGAGCUGCCGCUCACCAGCUGAGCGGCAGUAAAUCAUGUCUCUGGGCCUUGUCUGGACCCUCAGUCUGACGACCCCAUCCUUUUCCUUUGCGCAAGGUGAAAAGAUCAGAGCGGGUUAAGAAGACCCUAAAAGCCCUACUUCCUGAAAUUUUCCCUGGCAGACGACCCUGCAGAUCGCUGCUCCCCGUCCCAAAGACCCUUCCAAACGCAGGUGUGAAAGGCAAGAGGGAUCAGUCUAGGGGACGGCGAGAUGCCAUGAAGCACGUCGGUUCCCCGCGCGCGCAGAGAGGCGGCGCAGCACGGCGCAGGCAGGUCCGACCCGGCCCCGGGCCUCAGCGUCGGGGCCGCACGUUCCCCUUUCUGCUCCUCUGAAAGGGCAGCACAAACUCUCACCGUCCGGUUGCAUUGUGACCGGAAGCCACAUAGGCAGGGCCGGCCCGGCCCCGGGCCUCAGCGUCGGGGCCGCACGUUCCCCUUUCUGCUCCUCUGAAAGGGCAGCACAAACUCUCACCGUCCGGUUGCAUUGUGACCGGAAGCCACAUGAGGCCUGUCUUUAUAACGAAACAGAAACAAAGUCUUUCCUCGCCUGCUGUCUCCUGGCGUUCCUUACAGCAGUCAGUCAUCCCCAUCAGCUUCUUUUGAGGAGAGAGAGCUGUGCCUGUGAAAUAAUAACAUAAUUCUCCAAAUAUUGAGGCUAACAAGGACUGCAUUCUCUGAAUCCUGAUCUUGCAGUUAUUUCUGGCAGUAGUUUAUUUCCAUUGCUUUAGGAAAGCCCAUGAGAAAGUUGGGGCAGGUGCGUCAUCCAAACAGAUGUUGUCUAGGGACAGUGCUGAGUCUCGCC